UCCUAGCCCUGAUAGAAGUGGAAAUCCUUUUAUCCUGAUUUUUAAGGAUAAAAGAUUGGAACGGAUAGCAGGAUUAGCU
rnacentral:sRNA from 1 species